rnacentral:lncRNA from 1 species
CAGUGCCUACGGGGUGACAGCCAUAGUUGGAGCCUUUUAGACAUUUCUCUCCACAUCUCUCUCCCCAUGAAGUUUCAACACCACAGACAUAAAGCAUGUGUUUAUGGACCGCAGAGGGGAGAAAAAAGAGAGAGGUUGCUAAAGAACGUGAUCGGCAGAUGAGAGACCUGAGUUCAGAGGGAUGCAGUGGCCUUCGGGGACCUCCAGUGACCUCCCAUUGUGCAGACAAGCUGGGCUGGACUAAAGCCUAGUCCCUUUGGGCGCUUGCUCCUUUGUGGUGGCAAAGGGCUACAUGAUUCAGG